GAUGAAGAACGCAGCGAAAUGCGAUACGUAAUGUGAAUUGCAGAAUUCAGUGAAUCAUCGAGUCUUUGAACGCACAUUGCGCCCCCUGGCAUUCCGGGGGGCAUGCCUGUUCGAGCGUCAUUAACACCACUCAAGCUCAGCUUGGUAUUGGGUCACGCCAGCAAUGGUGAACCUCAAACUCAGUGGCGGCACCGUUGGGUCCCGAGCGUAGUAAAUAUCUCGCUGAGGGUUCCCUCCGGUUGGCGAACAACAACCCAAUUUUCUAAGGUUGACCUCGAAUCAGGUAGGAAUACCCGCUGAACUUAAGCAUAUCAAUAAGCGGAGGA
rnacentral:misc_RNA from 1 species